AUUAGACUAAUCAGAUUACAAUUCUGAAUUCACCUGUGUACAUGGACCAUGUUCUAUUCCGAUUUUGGCCAUUUGCAUUGACGUCACAAUAUCACGUAAUAUUGUUUUCCUGGACGGCGGAAGUAUACAUAUAUAUGUUAUAUUUCAUAAACUAGACAGAAAUACGCAAACGGAGACAACUUUGACCGUGAAAUACAAAAUAAACACUAGUUCUCCUGACCUAUUUGUUCACUGGCGGCCAAGUGAAUUUAAAAAAAAUGUAUAUUCUGCGCCACUAGGUGGCAUAACUGGGACGGUGGUCUACGGAAACCUGGGAGAAGAAGAGGCGAAUGUUGUUGCUUCCAGUACGAAGGCCUACUUACUCUGCCAGCGAUUUACCAUAUCACCAGUAAAUUUAAGAACUAUGAAAGUUAUGAGCUUAAAACCGAGCCACUCAUUGCCAGCUACAAAUCCUUGCUUGCACCUUUGCAUUUCUUCAUUGCUAGCUGGGCACCGCGGCAGCAUCCUCGUCAUGGCAUGGCACAGGUUCAUCUGUCAGGUGGUCAGCACCCAGACUAAAACCAUGGGUCAUGGUGAAGAAGGAUAAAAGUAAACUGUUGUAUGCCAAAGGUUGGCCAGGAUUAUGUCCAAGAAUUGCACUCCAGUAGCAGGUAAAGACAUGAAUGGUGGGGAGCCAACAUGAGGUUUCCAGAGAGGCUUCUUUCGCUUGGGCUUUGCAGCAGCACCAGGGCCUUCACCAUCAGUGAUGCUGGUCUCCUUAUCCAUCUUGCCUACCAGUACAUUCCUCCCCUGAUGCAUUGAUCUCCUGUACCUGUUGUGGAAGUUGUCAGGGACAACGAGCAGUUGUGAUAAUAAUUAAUUACUGAAAUGAUGAAGUCCAUCCCGGCAUGACUUGCUUAUUUUAUUGUGCACACUAAUACAACAACUUCAAACAUC